rnacentral:lncRNA from 1 species
GAAAUGGAUGCCAGGGGAUGUUUAGGGCCUGCCUCCUUUGCCUCCCCCGUUUCUCCUUAGCAUGGGGGGGAGGGGUUGCUUUGAAACCCGGAAGCACUUCAUGGCCCGCCGGAACACACCGCGGGUCACGUGGGGGCGGUGCCUGGCCGGCGCGUGACCCGGCGUCCGUUCCGCAGGUCUCCGGCCCGGGGUCACCCAGCAUGCUGCGUGCACGUGGCAGCUGAUGUCCUAAAUAGGAGCGAGCGGUCGUGGGCUGCUCUCCUGGGAGGGUGGAGCUGAGCUGCCAGCACAGAGCAACCCGCCCAAGGCCGGAGCUGACCAGCAGCACACUGAGAGCAACUGCGCUACGCCGGGGGCAAAGAACGGAGGCUGUGUACGCCACAGGGCUGUCUGUCUGUCUCUUCCUUUGCAGACCCAGGACUGGGAGACCGGGCAGAGACACAGUGAUUUCAGGCUGCAGAUGUUCAAGUCCGGGUUACUGGCUCCACUACUGCUUUAAGAGCUUGAGGUGGGAUCGCCCUGGGUUCCUUACACAUCUGCUGUUCCUUAAAUAAGUUUCCACACAAUCACAAGGCCGGAGAAGUUGGCCCAUAAUAACUGGACUGGCCCACGUGGCAUGAACAAUUGACAGGCAUCACCAAUUGUUCUCUGCCUCUUAAGAACCACUGACCUGAUAGCGAAGUCUAAGUCUAAGAAACCCAGACCUCAGUCCAAUUUUAUAUGGCAGCACUUACGGAGCCUGUCCUUCAGCUUAAAAGAAGUGGCAAAAGCAACAUUCACCUACUACUACUGAUUAGGACGGAACUUUCAGCAGUUUCUGACAUAGCCCUCAUCUAGUUUGAUCAGUUGCUGGGAUGAAUACUAUGACUAAGAGCAAUUUAGGAAGGAAAGGGUUUAUUUGGUUUACACUUCUAUGUCACAGUCCAUCACUGAGAAGAAAGAGCAGAAACUGAGGCAGAAACCAGACAGGAAUACUGCUUACUGGCUCCUUAUUAAAGCCCAGGAGCACCUGCCUGAACUGCCCACAGUGGACCCAGCCUUCCUACAUUAAUUAGCAUCAAGACCGCUGUCCCACAGACAUGGCCACCGGCCAAGCGGAUAGAAGCAAUUCUUUAAAAACAUUUUCUUUGAGAUUUUAUUUUUGUGCAUGUUUGUUUGCCUGAAUGUACAUUAUGUACACCAUGUGUGCUGUCCUCAGAGAGGCCAGAAGAGGGCAUUGGAUCCCUUGGGGCUGGCGUUAUAGUUGUUACCUGCCAUGAGGGUGCUGGGAAUUGAAUCUAACCAGUUCCUCUGGAAGAGUAGCCAGUGUCUAACCACUGCCGUCCAUCUCUGCAG